rnacentral:misc_RNA from 1 species
GAUAUUUUUACGCUUGUAAAUGGACAGCUGCACUCGUUCGUUUCAGCAUUGACGGAAGCAUUCGGUGUAAGCAAAGUUGCUGCUGCCUCAUUUUCUGAUACCACAGCUACACUUACCCAUCAAGUUGUUCUGGUUCAACUGCACUUCGCCAUCAAGCCGGUUGGUGGUGGUGCCUCCAGCGGACCCAGUACGCUCUGCAUAAUAUGCACGAUGAUGAUAAGCAUGAUUGUGGCUUCGGCGGCGACCUUCUACAUUAUCAACAAGAACAGGACGCUCCUGGAGGCCACUACUCUCACCACACCGUCGACACCGAAGCCGCACGUGGUGUUCCCCACGAAGAACGACACGGGCCUAGACGGGGGCGAUCUCCAUGGCGCCGAAGAAGACCACGUCAUGAGCGAUGACGGAGAGUCCACGGUCGCGCAAGACACGUGACUGCCAGUCACCUUGAAUGCAGUAUUGGCGAUUAGCAUUGUCGUUUUUUUGUGUAGUUAUCGCCAAAUGAAUUAAGACAAUAUCAAUUAAGACUUUGUCUUUAUUUAAGUACCUAUAAUUUCAUUAUAAUUGCACUGUUCUUAGGAAAUAUAUGUGUAGUUAUCGCGAAAUGAAUUAAGACCAUGCCAAUUAAAAUUUGUGGUUAUUUAA